rnacentral:rRNA from 1 species
AUUGAACGCUGGCGGCAGGCCUAACACAUGCAAGUCGAGCGGAUGAAGGGAGCUUGCUCCUGGAUUCAGCGGCGGACGGGUGUGUAAUGCCUAGGAAUCUGCCUGGUAUUGGGGGAUAACGUCCGGAAACGGGCGCUAAUACCGCAUACGUCCUGUGGGAGAAAGUGGGGGAUCUUCGGACCUCACGCUAUCAUAUGAGCCUAGGUCGGAUUAGCUAGUUGGUGGGGUAAAGGCCUACCAAGGCGACGAUCCGUAACUGGUCUGAGAGGAUGAUCAGUGAGACUGGAACUGAGACACGGUACAGACGCCUACGGGAGGAAGCAGUGGGGAAUAGUGGACAAUGGGCGAAAGCAUGAUACAGCCAGGCCGCGUGUGUGAAGAAGGUCUUCGGAUUGUAAAGCACGUUAAGUUGGGAGGAAGGGCAGUAAGUUAAUACCUUGCUGUUUUGACGUUAACAACAGAAUAAGCACCGGCUAACUUCGUG